UCUCAUUGUGUUUUUGUGUGUUAGGAUGAGCCGGAGGUGCAGCAGCCGGAUGAAAACAACCCGUAUGAAGAAGUGUACAAGGACUCCAGUACUUUCCUCAAGGGUACUCAGAGUUUGAACCCACACAAUGACUACUGUCAGCACUUUGUGGACACAGGGCACCGGCCCCAAAACUUCAUUAGAGAUGUUGGCCUGGCUGACCGGUUUGAAGAAUACCCAAAGCUUCGGGAGCUGAUCAGACUGAAGGACGAACUCAUCUCCACCACCAACACUCCUCCCAUGUACCUCCAGGCUGAACCGGAGAACUUUGACCUGCAGGAUUUGAAGUGCAAGUUUGAUGUGAUUCUGGUUGAGCCCCCCCUAGAGGAAUACUACAGAGAAUCAGGCACCAGCCACACUGAACAGUUCUGGAACUGGGAUGAUGUAAGUAUGCAUGUUACUCGUCUGCAU